UGGGGAAUAUUGGACAAUGGGGGCAACCCUGAUCCAGCGAUGCCGCGUGAGUGAAGAAGGCCUUCGGGUCGUAAAGCUCUUUAGGUUGGGAAGAAGUGCACUAUGUAAAUAAUGUAGUGUAUUGACGGUACCGACAGAAUAAGCACCGGCAAACUCUGUGCCAGCAGCCGCGGUAAUACAGAGGGUGCGAGCGUUAAUCGGAGUUACUGGGCGUAAAGGGCGCGUAGGCGGUAAGAUGGGUGUGAUGUGAAAGCCCUGGGCUUAACCUGGGAAGUGCAUUGCAAACUAUGUUACUAGAGUACAUGAGAGGGUGGCGGAAUUUCCGGUGUAGCGGUGAAAUGCGUAGAGAUCGGAAGGAACGUCGAUGGCGAAGGCAGCCACCUGGUGUGAUACUGACGCU
rnacentral:rRNA from 1 species